UACGUAGGGUGCAAGCGUUGUCCGGAAUUAUUGGGCGUAAUGAGCUCGUAGGCGGUCUGUCGCGUCUGCUGUGAAAACUCGGGGCUUAACCCCGGGCCUGCAGUGGGUACGGGCAGACUAGAGUGCGGUAGGGGAGACUGGAAUUCCUGGUGUAGCGGUGAAAUGCGCAGAUAUCAGGAGGAACACCGGUGGCGAAGGCGGCAUCCUGGACCAACACUGACGCUGAGGAGCGAAAGCCAGGGGAGCAAACGGG
rnacentral:rRNA from 1 species